rnacentral:lncRNA from 1 species
GUCGCCCACAUGGUUCUUGGUGAUUACCCCGAAGCUCAUCCACUCUAAGGAUUUUGACAAAAGAAAUGGCUAGCAUUUUCUUUUUUAACGUGUUGGGAGUCUAAUUUUUCCAUCAAAAUCAACAUGGUGUUAAUUCUAGACACAGAGAGUUGUUUAUUCAGUUACCAAAUGUCUUCGAUGACGAUAUUCCAAGAAUAUUACUCCCAAAGAUCCUACUUAUGAUUCACAUCUCUACAUUUGAUGCUCAACGUGCACCAAAUUGCAGCAGGAAUAUUCUCACAGUUGAUUGUCUUCCCCCAAGUGGAUAGAGUCUUAGCACAACAGCAGACCAGUGACUAAAGAUAACAUUCCACAGUGGCGUGGAGGAAUACACAAGGCCACAGAAAAAUAUGUCACAUCUUCGUGGAGCCACAAUUCUUUCAGAUUUACAGAAAUUAUUAUUUCUACACUUUAUGAUAUCUGACAUAGAAUGAAAAAUCCAUAUGAAUUCCAUCAAUGAAACAUGAGUCCUCAAAGGAAUUUCCUGUUUACAAUGGGCUGCACCCAUCUUCGCCCUCUUUCCAAGCUUCCUCCUAAUACCAGAAAU